GCACUUGCGCACUGGUUGACGGGAGACUGGACGGCGUCGGGUGGGAUGCCGCAGUUUUUCCAGGAAUUGUUUACCUUGUGUCCAUUACCCUCCCUGCUGGAUUCAGGAUGGAGAAAGUGCAUUUUUUUUCCUAACAGCUCUUAUAUUUAAUGGCUGAAGACUUUUCAUGGAAUAAUUUAUGUAUAUUCAUCGUUCCAUUUUAUUUAAACGUUUCCCUAUUGGUGAAUACUUACGUUGUUCCCACCUUUCCCCUAUUACAAAUAAUGCUGCCAUAAAUGUCGAUGUUCCUUGUGUGUAUAUCUUUCUGUGCAUGUUGGAGUUUUUCUGACCAGUUUCUUCAACAUGGGAUAUAUCUAAAGACUAUGCACGUUAUUAAUUUUGAUAAGUACUGCCAAAAUGGCUCAACCAAUUAAAAUAAUUUGGAAGUUUUUCCAUGCUCUAGUGCAUGAUGGAUAUUAUCAAUCUUUUAAAAAAAUUUGCCAGUUUAAUGGAGAUAAAAGGAUGCCUCACUAACCUUUAUUAUUGAUGCUUCUGGUUACUCAUGAGGUUGUGCAGCUUCUUAUAUGUUUAUUGGCAUUUAUAGACUAUGAAUCGCCAAUUCAUAUUCUUAAUCCAUUUUCUAUUGGUUAUUUUUGCUUUCUUAUGGAUUUGUAGGAACUCUAUACAUUCUGAAUAUAUUGUUUCAUAUGUGAAAAAUAUUGUUGCUCAGUUUCCGCCUAGUUGUUUCUGCUCUUUCAUCAUACUUUAAUUUUAAAUUUUAUGUAGUGCUUCAGUCUGUUCUUUUUUUGCCUCUGGAUCUGCAUAUUGCUUAGAAAGGCCUUCUUCACCACAUCUAUGGUUUCCAACCAUUCUUGGAGCAGUUUGUUGUUAUUUGCAAUUAGCUCUUUACUCUGGAAACUAUAUUUUUGUAUAAUGAGAGUUAAGGGACUUAAUUAUGUUUUUUUCUAAAGGAAUAACGAUUUUUUGAGUGCCGUUUAUUUGAGUAACCCUGACUUUCCCCAGUAUUCUGAAAUGGUACCAGUGCUAUUGAUACAGGACCUAAAAAGAAAUUUAGGCAGAUAGUGUAAGAGAGUCCUCAGCAGAGCUUCUUUCUGAACAAAAAGCACUCCCAAAAUUAUUUCUGUUUUGACAAAGAGCAGCCUGAAAAAUUGAGCUACAAACAUAGAUAAGCAAGCUGACAGUGCACGGGAGAAUGCUGGCAGUUGUGCCAAUAGAAAAGGACUACCUGGAAGCCAGGUAUGUUCAAUAUGGAGACUCCAUCUUCCAUUUUCUUUGUCACCACGUGUACAGUGAAGGAACAGGCAACAUGGCAUCAGCCAGGUAGAGAAGCCGUCUGCAUAAUAAAAUAUUAGGGUAGGAAGGCCAGCUUCUUCAUGCACUAUGCAAAUGGCACACCUGGUCCAACCAAUCUUUCAUUCCCUAUGUAAAUCAAACACUGCUUCCUCAAGCUCAUCUAUAAAACCCUGUGCAUUUCAUCGCAGAACUGGCAACCCAUUUUCUCUGGGACCCCUUUCUCUGCACAGAGAGCUCUUGUCUUUGGUUUGCCUGUUAAACUUCUGCUCUUAACCUCACUAUGGUGUGUCGCGUCCUAGUUUUCCGUGGCUGUGGGACAAUGAACCUCAGGUAUUACCCCAGAUAAUGAUGCCGCUACACUAUGUGCUACAUUUCCACAUAAGCUGGCGAUAUGGAGCCCAUGUCAGUGCUCUGUCCACAGUCCUGUGCUUGCGUGCAUUUCCUCCCCCAGGUGCUUUCCUUCCAGCAGCCACGCCUGCAUUUCUCAGAGGACCCCCUUGAAGGCUUCCAUUCCCACGUUUCCUGCUCUCCUGGAGAGUUGGAAGUAUCUGAGAAUGUAUCUUCUCCUGAGCAGUACUUACCAGUGUGGAUUACUGAUGGUAGCUGGAAUAUAAAUAUUGCAGCUUCCUUGCCCCACUUAGCAAGACAACUCUGAGGGGUGAACUUCACCAUUCUCUCUGCAAUUCUGAGUCAAUGGUACUAUCUGCGAAUUCUUUUACAUACUCAUCAAAAGGCAUAUCUUUGUGGCAGCUUCUAUAAGAGAAUGCAGCUGCCAUGUAGAAAGAUCACGUGAGAACCACAUAGAAGGGGGAAGAGAUGACUAAGGGGCCCCAGCUGCCCCAGCCCCUGGCUGUUUGAGUCUUACUAGUCCAGGUACCAGACGUGUGAGAGAUGAAACCUUCAAGGUGGCUCCAGUUCCAGCCACCAUCUGGUUACCACCACUGAGAAACCCUGAGUGAGGUAUGCCUAUCUAAGCCCAGAUGACAUCCAAAUGUGUGGGCAAAAAUAAACGAUUGUUAUUGUUCUAAGCCACUGUUUUGGGAUUGUUAUAUUUUGGGAUAACUGGAAGGAAUACACCGUGGGACUUUGUUUGAUUUGGAACUUUAGCUUGGCCUCUGUAUCAGUUUCCUAGGGCUGCUGUAACACACGAUCACAAACUGGAUGCCUUGAAACAGCAGAAAUUUAUUCUCUCACAUUUCUGGAGGCCAGAUGUACAAAAUUAAGGUGUUGACAGGGCUAUACUCCCUCCAAAGGCUCUGGGGGAGAAGACUUUUUUUGCCUCUUCCAGUGACAGCCUUAACUUAGUUACAUCUGUAAAAAACCUUUUUCCAAAUAGGCCAUGUUCCCAGGUUCUAAUCCCUGAUUCGAAUGUUAACAUGUCUUUUUGGGCUCUACCAUUUAACCUACUAUAGUCCAACCUCUGGCCUUCCAAAUUCACAUCUGCCUCAUGUGCAAAAUACAUUCAUUCCAUCUCAACAUCUCCAAAAGUCCUAACUCUCACUAAAUGUCAUAAAAAUUAAUUCAAAGAGUCUCAAAUAUUCACAUAUAAAUAAUCUAAUACUCAGGUGUAGGUGAGUCUAUGGGUAUGAGCUAUGCAAGGGCAAAAUUCCUCUGCAUCUAUUGACUAGUGAGACUAGAAAACAAGUUACCUGCUUCCAAAACACAAAGGUGGGCCAUGUAUAUGAUAGACAAUCUCACUGCAAAGCAGAGAAAAUAGAAGGAAUAAAAGGGUCAUCAAUCCCAAGCAAGUUAGAAAUCCAACAAGGCAAAGUCAUUUGGUUUCAAGGUCUGGGAAUAAUCCUCUGUGGCUUGAAGCUGUGUCUUUUGGGCUCAUGGCUUCAUAGGCCUCUUUGCUCAUGGCAACUUGGUAGGUCUCUGCUCUUGAACAUUCAGCCUCUACCCCUGUGCCCAAGACCCUGUCCUCAUAGUCAUUCUUCCUUUUUCUUGAAAGGCAGCACAUGCUGAUACCUGAGUAGUUCUAUCAGUCCUCUUCUUGCCUGAAGAACUGUGCAUAUCUGACAGCCUCUCUUUCACUUUGUCCUGUCUCAGCCACUUCAGGCCAAGCUGACAGUGUUUCUUCUGGUACAACCUUCUCAAGAACUUUUGAGGCUCCCAUGUAUGUCACAGGGAUCCAUGCCAUUAGAUAAAAGAACCCCCACAGAUCUUUCCUGGAUAACGCUGGAUCUAUCCUUGGAUCUGUGAGAUAAUUGAGGGAUCCAUCAGUUGUAGAGCAGAUCUCUUCAGCACAAUAUUGUCUAGGCACACCCUUGGCCCUCUAUCCAGAGUACACUUUCCCAACAGUGAGUUUCCCAAUUUUAGCAUCUUUUGCAAUCUGAAUAGGCCAAGAAGCUCCCAAUUAUCAAGUGUUGUUUCUUUUUGCUUAACAGCUCCUUCCUCAAUUUACUUCUUUCCUUUUGUGUUUCAUUACAAACAGCAUGAAGAAACCAGGCUGCACCUUCGACACUUUGCUUAGAAAUCUCCUCAGCUAAAUAUCCAAGUUCAUUGCCUACAAAUUCUGCUCUCCACCUAAGGACACAAUUCAUCCAAGUUCUUUGCCACUGUGUCACAAGGAUCACUUUGCCUUCAGUUUCCAAUAACAUGUUCCUCAUUUCCUUCUUAGCCUUCAACAUAAACCACCUUUAACAUCUAUAUUUCUACUAACACUCUGCUCAUGAUGAGAUGUACAUUUCUAAGAUGAUGGAAGAAUUCUCUACCAUGCUCUUCACUUCCUUCUGUUUCCUCACCAGAAUUGCCUUUAAAAUCCAUAACUCCACUGUCUCUUCAAGAAAGUCUAUGACUUUUCUCUCAAGUACCUCAAAAACCAUCCAACCUCUAUUUAUUACUCAGUUCCAAAGUCACUUCCACAAUUUGAGGUAUUUAUUAAAGUAGCACCCACUUCCUGGUACCAAAAUCUGUAUUAGUUUUCUAGGGCUGCCAUAACAAAUGCCACAAACUAUGUGGCUUAAAACAGACAAAAUUUUUUUCUCCAAAGUCUGGAGAUCAGAAGUCCAACAUCAUGGUAUUGACAGAGCCACUCUCUUUCUGAAGGCUCUAGGAGAGAAUCAUUCUUUCCCCUUCCAGGUCCUGGUGGCUCCAGGAAUUCUUGGCUUGUGGCAGCAUCACUGUAAUUUCUACCUUAAUCUUUUCAUGGCCAUCUCUUCCUGUAUGUGUCUCUCCUCUGUGUCUCUUAUAAAGUCACUUCUCAUUAGAUUUAGGGCCCACCUGGGUAAUUCAGGAUGAUCUCAUCUUGAGAUCCUUCAUUACAUCUGUUAGGACCCUUUCACCAAAUAAGGUCAUAUUGACAUGUUCUGGGGUAUAAUAGGGCUCUCCAGGGAAACAGGAUAAAUAAAACAUAUAUAGAUCUCUACAUAAGAGGAGAUUUAUUAUGAUUGGCUUGGCCGGGCACAGUGGCUCAUGCCUGUAAUCCCAGCACUUUGGGAGGCUGAGGCGGGUGGAUCACCUGAGGUCAGGAGUUCAAGACCAGCCUAGCCAACAUAGUGAAACCCCGUCUCUACUUAAAAUACAAAAAAUUAGCUGGGUGUGGUGGUACGCACUGGUAAUCCCAGCUACUUGGGAGGCUAAGGCAGCAGAAUCGCUUGAACCCGGGAGGCGGAGAUUGUGGUGAGCCGAGAUCACGCCACUGCACUCCAGACUGGGGGACAAGAGCGAGACUUCGUCUCAAAAAAAAAAAAAAAGGCUCACAUGAUUAUGGAAGUUGAGAAGUCACACAAUCUGCCAUCUGCAAAUUGAAGAACCAGGAAUGUCAGUGGUGUAAUUCAGUCCUCAUCCAAAGGUUUAAGAACCAGGAGCACCAAAGUCCAGGGGCAGGAGAAUAUGGAUGUCCCAGCUUACACAGAAUGAAAUGUACCCUUCCUCUGCUUUUUUGUUCUACUCAAACUUCCCAUGGAUUGAAUCACGCCCACCCACAUUAGUGAAGGCAAUCUGCUUUAUUUAGUCUAUGAAUGCAAAUGCUAAUCUCUUCUGGAAACACCCUUACAGACGCAAGCAGAAAUAAAUUUUACCAGCUAUGUGAGAAUCCCUUAGCCCAGUCAAGUUGACACCUAAAACUAACCAUCACAUGGAGAUUAGGACAUAGGCAUGCCUUUUUGAGAUCCACCAUUCAACUCACUCCAGUGGCCUUCCCUUCCUCAUCCCAACUCCCCUCUUUUACCAUUUUUUCUUGAGAAUGCUCACUAAUAAAUUACUUUUACACAAA